AUCUCUCUCUAUCUCGCUCGAUCUCCUCCGGCCGCUGCUGCUCUGCUCUGGGCCGCGACCAGCGGCGCUUGGCCUUCGGCCGCGCCGCCCCGCUCAGCCGCCUCCCUUCUGAAGCUGUUGCCGCUCCGCCUGAAGUCGACGAGUCAGCCGUCGCCGAGUCUCCCCUUUGCGGCAGAUCCGCCGCCGCGGUUCCCUUUCCGGCGAAACCGGCAUCAAGUCGUUGGAGUACCGGCGAGGCCGCAACCGGCCACUGGCGCUGCUCCCUUCGUCUCUGACUUCCUCUCUUUUUCCAUCCUUUCCUCUCUAUCUCUGAUCGUGCUCUCUCCUCUCAAAUUGCAUGACCUCAGCCGUGCAUCCUCCUCGACAGGCUCUGCCAUGGCCGAGUCCGGUGAGGUUGGCGUCGGCAUCAGACCUUGCCCAAAACUCUCAUCUUCCGUGUUUCUUCUCUGAAAUUUCAACUCCAGAUUAUACCCCCAAUCGAACCCUAAUUCUUUCAUCAUGGACUACCACCGCUGCUGUCCUCUUCGGUGUAGACGGGCUCGAUGCCUCAUCGCGCCGUUGUUGUUAUAGUCAGAUUCCAGCGAGGCAGCAAGGGAUCGCCGCCGUCAUUCCCUCGGCUCGACUGAACAGGUACAUCGAUAUAGUCCCACUUCCUUUUCCUUCUACUCAAGUUCACUUCUCAAAUUUACGUGAAGUCUUGGUUCUAUAUACUAUAUGUGCAAGGGAUUAAUGGCGUUGUGGGGUUGCUACUGUGUUAGCAUUUAAUUUCUAGAGUCCAGUGGGAAUCAUAAACGCAUACGACAUUCUACAUAACAUGUGUAAAUCUGUAUUACUGAAACGUGACUUUGCUAAGUCCAUUAUGCAUAUAUAUCUCAAUUCUUUAUUCUGACUUUCUAAAACAUAAGCAUACUUGUUGGUGUGAAUCAUGUAGCAUGAACUAGAGUAAAAUGAGAUUAGCAAUCACCUGUGUUUUUUUGUGCUUGGUUGGCUGCUGUGCUAAUGAAUUCAGGAAUGAAUAAACUGAAACAUAAUUGUGGAUUUUGCUUAACCAUUGCAGGCUGAACUCAAGAAGAAAAUGGAGAAGUUUAAGUUGAGCUUACCUCUUGGGGUCCAGAUUGCAGCUGAAAUAAACUCUCUAUGAUUUUUGGUGCAUAAAGGAAGGAGGGGGAAUCGUAGUUGGUGAUUUUCAGGC
rnacentral:lncRNA from 1 species